rnacentral:lncRNA from 1 species
AUGCAGGGAGAGCCACGGCAACCAGGCGGACAACAGUGGGCCCGAGCCCCCUCCUGGAGGACUCGGCACUCUAGGCAGCUCCCCCUCCGUGGGCCUCGCCUCCCUGCCCGCAGUGCGGGACGCGCGUGUGCCCUGCCAGUGGGGGUGACGGAGCUUCCGCGCAGCCGAGGAAGCACCUACUCCACGCGUACACGUGCACACCGGCAGUCGGGGACCCGCAGCUGGCCCGCGCCUGGCCCGGGGCCCUCUGCGACCUCGCCGCGGCCGCCUGCUCUCCUCUGUCGGUGUGGUCUGCUCUCCCAGCCACGCAGAGUUCCCGAGGGGCCUCAGCGCAGGGCUCUGGGGACUCCAGCUCGGGUAACUAGGACAGCGCCUGGGCUGUGCUGUCGCCGGGCGCUGCUCCUGCUCACCCCUGUUGCUGCUCAUCUCCUCUGUCUGCUUCCUCAGGGAAACCGCGGCCCAGGGACACACGCGCAGGGAGAAGCACAGUACUGUGGAGCUCAGGACUCCCUGCGGCUUCGCAGGGAGGAGGGCACCGCGGCCUUCACUCCAGGGGACACCGGACGGACAGGACAGCCGGAAACUAGAGGAAGUGGACGCCCAGAAUCACGCACGGCGGCCAGAACGAAAACGCCCUCCAAGCCCAAUGCACGCACUUACAGCACCGCAGCAAGAAACAAUGAAAACAUUACCGUGGAAAGAAGAAAUCCCAUUAACAAUGGCAAAAGGGUACUGAUUUUGUAAUUGAGACUACAGGUUGAAAACUAUAUGAAGAUGUACCCUGGCGAGGCAGCAGCACACCUGUCAUCCCGCAGUCUGGCGAGCUAAGAGGGGAUAAAGUUUGGGCCCACCCUGGGCAACUCAGUGACGUGGCAAGACCCUGUCUCAAAGUAAAAUGUGAAAAAGGCUGGGAAUGUGGCUCAAUGCAAAGACCAUGGGUUCAACAGCCAGUACCACACACACACACACACACACACACACACACACACACACACACAAAGUGAAAAGUAAUUGCAAGUGAAUUAACAGAGAACAAAAAUCACCAAAAGCUGGUGGGAAGACGGUAAGGACAACUGUCCUUCAGGGGAAGAGAAAUAACACUGUAUUCAUGAGAGGACAUUACUGCUAUCACUGUAGUUUGUACUUCAGUGCUCUGAAGUUUAAUUAAUUUUAUUGGUACACUUUUUUUUUGGUAGUGCUGCAGACUGAACUUAGGGCCUUGCAGAUGCUAGGUAAGGGAUCCAUCACUAAGCUACGUCCCCAACCCUACAGGUAGUCAAGUUUAAAUGAUUCAAAAUAUCUAAGGCGCUCAGAAAGGACUCGGCAGCAAUCACCACUGUUGUUCUAUUUUUGUGACAACCACCUUGAGAUAAAUCAUUGGUAGACAUGUAGCAAAACUAUCCAAAUGGAAAAAUAAUGUCUUACUGGCUCCAAAAAUAUAAAUUAGGGGGAGAAAUAAAAUCACAGCACAACUUUGAACUGGCAGAGAAUGACCUCUAACCUUUCAGCACGGCUAGUGUCCCUGGGCAGCGCGUCGUGUCCUCACGCAGCAUUUCUGGAACGUGAACCCUCAAAACCCCGACUAGGUGGGAGAACAGACGCCAGCAGACGGACCGGGACUUCUGGACAUCUGAAGGCCGGCUGAGUCUCACAGUCAGAGCUGAUCAUGUCCUCCCCUCCCCGUCUGGUGCACUAGAGCUUCUGGAAAGCUGGCAGUGCCAGAGGGAGCCCUGUGGUGCCCCACAGCUAGCGAACGCGUGAGCUUCCUUCCCCUCCUACCAGCCACGGUGCAGGCACUGCUCUGUAGAUCCCCAGACUGCCCUGUGGAAGCCUCAUCUCACUCCCGGUGGGAAAAAUUCCCCUCUGCAUCCUUCCUUCCUGAGAAAGUGACUCCAUCAAAACCAGGAAUAAACCGAGAAUUUCCAAGUUUUGUUUUGAAGAAAAUUAACAGUAAGUUCACCACAUUAGAAUUCAGUGAUACAAAGAAAAAGAGCCUUCAGGAAAACCACACUGGUGUUUUUUUAAGAAUGGGAAAAAUUAAUUGAGAGAAAGAGAGCUUCUGUCCAAGAGAGACAGAAGCGGGACUGGAAAGAGGGUUGUCUCCAUACUGGUAUGUUUAACAAUAUUAAAUUUGAAUGUAUAUUUAAUUGGCAAUUACUAUAUAAGGUUUAGGUUACUAAAAAUUAGCAAUUCUACA